UGGCGUCUUCAGUCAUGUUGACGUGUCGACAAUGAGACAAUCACCAAGCUUGCCUCGUGCCUUAUUUCAAGCUUGAAAGCUCAAUAUCGUAUCACUAAUCUCAACUCAUCAACCUAUCCAUCAUCCAUAACCUGAUUCCUGACCUCCUCGCAUGAACAAACAAAUGGAGGUAAAGGUCACGAUGAAGCAGAGGAGGACAACAACAGUGUGUUCACCAACAAUUGUUGAUUCAGCACAUCUAUUCCUGUGAGCUGUCAAUCAAAGCGACAAGAAGCUUGCCCAGAGGCUACAUCCAGCAGUGAUUUUGGCUCAGCGUCAGAGCGCUAUGCUGCCAUGUUCAGCAAAGCUUCCAGUAUUGGAAGGUUGAGCCUUGGACGCCUCAUUGCUCAUCAGUCUCACUCCCUCAAGUAUCCUCCCCUGAACCCACCCCUUCCCCCAGGGGCCUCAUGGGAUCUCUGCAGUACAAAUUUCCGUUUAGAUUCUAGUGGCUGAGGCUGACGACACCGCAGCGCUCCUACCCCACAGCUUGAUGAGCCCUCCGAUGGCGAUUUACUGUACAUGGCAGCCACUCUGGAGCCGACGCACAUCUGGUGCUGAGUAUGCUGACUGAAAAACAGUGUAGCGGAGCAAAGCCGAUGAAAGCCGCCCCUUCCCAGCCCAAACCCAUUUUCCCCUACUGCCUUCAUCAUAUCCUCAAAGCCCUCCCUCCUCCCGCAAGCCAGAUCUCGAAGCCUUUGGAAAGACUGCAAAGUGUCAACAAAAACUUGAGAGAGACAUUAAAAGACAUGCUGCACUUAAUGAUGUGAUAGUACUGGGAUUUUUCUCUGUGAGUGAGAGUGUGUGAAUGUGUCAGAGUUGGUCGCGAGAACACACUGAAUGUUCAGCCUCAAGUCCAAAUACAGUUAUGAUUUGACU